rnacentral:rRNA from 1 species
GGCUCAGGAUGAACGCUGGCGGCGUGCUUAAGACAGGCAAGUCGAACGAAGAGUUUGUAGCAAUACGGGCUCUUAGUGGCGAAUGGGUGCGUAACACGUAGGUGACCUACCCUGAAGUGGGCGAAUAACAGUUCGAAAGGACUGCUAAUACCGCAUGUGGUCCUGGAGGUUAGAGGCUCCAGGUCUAAAGCUUCUCGCAAGAGAGGCGCUUCUUGAGGGGCCUGCGGAUCAUCAGCUAGUUGGUAGGGUAAUGGCCUACCAAGGCAACGACGAUUAGGGGACCUGAGAGGGUGACCCCCCACACUGGCACUGACACACGGGCCAGACUCCUACGGGAGGCAGCCGUCGGGAAUAUUGCACAAUGAGCGAAAGCUUGAUGCAGCAACGCCGCGUGCGCGAUGAAGGUCUUCGGAUCGUAAAGCGCUUUUCGAGGGGAUGAGGAAGGACAGUACCCUCGGAAUAAGUCACGGCUAACUACGUGCCAGCAGCCGCGGUAAAACGUAGGUGGCGAGCGUUAUCCGGAUUUACUGGGCGUAAAGCGUGUUCAGGCGGUUUGGAAAGUCGGGCAUGAAAUCUCUUGGCUCAACCAGGAGAGGCUGUCCGAUACUUCCAGACUUGAGGGCAACAGAGGGCGGUGGAAUUCCGGGUGUAGUGGUAAAAUGCGUAGAUAUCCGGAGGAACACCAGUGGCGAAGGCGGCCGCCUGGAUUGCCCCUGACGCUAAAACACGAAGGCUAGGGUAGAGAACGGGAUUAGAAACCCCGGUAUUCCUAGCAGUAAACGAUGUUGACUAGGUGUCGGGAGUGUAAAAGCUCUCGGUGUCGUAGCUAACGCGUUAAGUCAACCGCCUGG